GAGCGAACGCUGGCGGCAGGCCUAACACAUGCAAGUCGAGCGCCCGUAGCGAUACGGGAGCGGCAGACGGGAGAGUAACACGUGGGAACGUACCCUUUGGUUCGGAACAACACAGGGAAACUUGUGCUAAUACCGGAUAAGCCCUUACGGGGAAAGAUUUAUCGCCAAAGGAUCGGCCCGCGUCUGAUUAGCUAGUUGGUGGGGUAACGGCUCACCAAGGCGACGAUCAGUAGCUGGUCUGAGAGGAUGACCAGCCUCAUUGGGACUGAGACACGGCCCAAACUCCUACGGGAGGCAGCAGGUGGGGAAUAUUGGACAAUGGGCGCAAGCCUGAUCCAGCCAUGCCGCGUGGAUGAUGAAGG
rnacentral:rRNA from 1 species